CUGUCUGCCAGGAUGCUGUGGAGGCUGCGGGGGGAAAGUCUGGAGAUACGCAGGAGAGCGCCUAGCAAAGACAGCAUGCAGCCAUAGAAUUCAUGGCAGAUGACCCCAGGAUGAAGACUACGGCAUGUCCCCUGGCCAACAGUCCCUUGGUGCCCUCACCCAGUUCCAGCUAACUUCUCACCUGCUGUAAAGAUUUUUUCACAAAAGGCAACGGCAGUCCCUGGGCUGUGUAUUUGCCCAUCAGGCAUCGCAGGGAAGGACCCAGCACCUCAAAUACCAAGCACACAUGUGGGAAGAGUCAGGGAUUCACUAACAGAAGAUUCUACCGCCAGCCUUCUCCCCCUCACCAGAGCAGCCCAAGUAUCUCCUUAUCCAACCUGUCCCCUCCAGUCACCUCCAUGUGCCCCUGUCCAGCUCAUCCUCCUCACGGGAGGACAGCGCUCAGCUUUACACCAUCCUGGGACUGUCUGGGGCAAGCCCCGGCUUUGCUGACCCAGCGCUGCAGCACUCUCAGCAGAAGGAUAUGGAAGCCAUUUUCUCCAAUCAUUCUGAAGUUGUCUAACAAAGAGAUGAUGUUUUCUCCUGCCUGGUCCUUCUUCUUCAUACUGCUCACCUGAGGGAGGAUUCCAAGAAAGCUGCAGUUAGAGACAUAUAUAAGCACAAGGACAUGUUUUACCCAUUUUGUCCCAUUCUACAGACUUUCUCUUCUAGGAGCUGGCACUUCAUGACAAAUCCCAUGAAAACAGCAUCAGGAAAAACAGGCUCCAAACACACAAGUCUGUUACCAAGGAAUGAGUUUCUGUAUGUUGUCCAUCUCGUGGCCAGGUGGGACCAUCACCUUCACAGUGUCUGAAUAACUCAAACUGAUCCUGCUAAUAGUGCCUAGAACACUUUCCACUGCUUAUUCUAUCCCAUGCAGGCCCAGAAGGUGCUCCUGCUUGUGCUGGAAGGGGAUUCCCCCAAGAACACGCUCCCUGCUCCCAGAAGCAAUGGCUGUCCAUUUCUUUUGCCCCUCUGCAGCCUCUGCUCCUUGCCCUCAGAGCGGGGAUGGCACUGUCCCUGCUCCGCUGAGAGCAGCAGGUGGGACAUCACCUUUUAAAACCCACCCCUUCCCUUCAGCAAUUUCUUGCAAGGGCUUGCAGAAAGGCAGAGACCUUGUGGUUGUCUCCAGCCACUUGAAUCAUAGAAUCAUUGAAUCAUUAAGGUUGUAAAAGACCUCUAGGAUCAUCAAGUUCAACCAUCAACCUGACACCACCGUGCCUCCUAAACCAUGCCCUGAAGUGCCACAUCUACAUGCUUCUUGAACACCUCCAGGGAUGGUGACUCCACCAUCUCUCUGGGCAGCCUGUUCCAGUGCCUAAACACUCUUUCAGUAAACAAAUUUUUCCUAAUACCCAAUCUAAACCUCCCCUGAUGCAGCUUGAGGCCAUUUCCUCUCAUCCUAUUGCUGGUGACUUGGGAGAAGAGACCAACACCCACCUCGCUACAACCUCCUUUCAGGUAGUUUUAGAGAGCAAUAAGGUCUCCCCUCGGCCUUCUCUUAAAGGAGGCUACCUGUCCUAUCAGGUGGAGAGCAGCUUCCACGCCUGGAGGAAACCAGCAAACUAGGCUUCUUUGGGCUGAAAAAGGGUUAUCUAUGGGCAACUACUGCAGAAAUCUAGAAGAUAUGGAGUCGUGGUGGAAGGAGUGAACACAGGUCUUUCGUACAAGAACCAAGGGGCAUAAAACCUAGCACUUGGGAGGUUCAAAAACAAAGCUGAGGAGAUGGGUCUUCACGCAGCACCUGGGUAAUUGGUGGCAGUUCUUGGUUGUCACAGUGUGCUGCAGCUGCAGAAGCCAAUAGGCCUCUUCAAGGUAAAGCCAUUGAGAAUUACUGCCCACACAGGCCUCACCCUUGGCCCAAGACAUUUCCAGCUGGAAGCUGCUGUGGGCCAGGGGAGCAUUCAGUGGGAGCAGCACCCUGUGCUUAGCUUGUCUGUACACCCAUCUGGAUAUCUGCUGCUGGCCCGGGGUGCUGGGCUAGGUGAAGCCCCAGUCUGCCCAAGCAUAGGUGCUGCAGUACCCCCAGCUCUUGCACCAGCCCUGUAGACCCGCAUGGCAAGGUGUAUCAGGAGUUUGCUCCCACAGAGCACUGAUUGUGGUCCAGGAUCCUUCCUCUUCACAGCCAUAACUGUCAGGAUUUUGGUUUUGUGUGCUGUGCAGCUGCCGAUCCGCCUGCACCAGUGCCAGGAGGUUCGUGCUGGUAUGACAGAGAUGAGCAGCCGUGGAAGCAGGGGAGACCAGAUCACCUCUCCUGGCAGCUCUGCAGGCACCGACCACCUCAUGCUGGCGGGAACAGCCCUGGGAACCAGCUACAUUGUGCUGAACAGAAGGCGUGUCUUUCAGAGUGAGUUAGUAAUAAAUUAAGAGUAAGGCUCGGUCUAUACGCAGGAUUGUGCUGAUGUGUAGAAAAGCAGCCCUCUGAUUACAUUAAAUUAGUGCCACUUGGUACUUCCUCUUGCAUCAUGAAGUCUGGCUCACGUCCGUUUGGACAGGGCCUCCAGAUUUACAGGUGCAAACAAAACCUUUCUCAAACCUGUUGGAGAAAGGCCUCAGAGUAAUUUGAAAUGCAAAAAUUAAUGGCUUUUACUCAUCUAAAGCUGAUGUAACUUUCUAUUUAGGCAAACUGGAAGAAUUGUAACCACGAACUUUCUAGAACUAGCAGGUCAAGCCACCUUCAAAGGCUGAGACCCAGAUACAGGCACCUAAUUACCACAUCCAUUAGCAAAGGUAGGAGGAAGCUUUCUGACUGCAGAGUUUUAUUACAUUUUUGCUACAUCCUGCCUUUUUUUUUUUUAGAUAUUUGCUUUUACUUCAGUAUCAGUGUUGUGACAGAGGAAUGCCCUCUGAGCUGUGAACAACACAGAUAAAAUGGACACACUCCCAUCUCCUGUUUAGGAAUAUUACUUCUUUUUUUUCUGUUAGUUAUCUGCCUUAUCUUUCUGCGGGUGCCUCCAAUUUACUGUAUUUUGGUCUCUGCUAAAAGAAAUGGGCUGACAGGGCAAGUGGGGCACAGCCAGCGUGUCCCAUCAUGACAGGAGAAAGGAGACGGUGCCUGUUUCUGAAGCCAGUGCUGAGCCAAGGUGAAUACCAUGAUUAUCUAACUUUUCUGGGGGGUUGUUUUCUGGUCCUCAGACUGAGACCUGGAGGGAGAAGGGAUGAUGAGACUGAUAUACUCAGACCUGAACUCAGUGGUCAUCCCCGCGGAGCAAAGCACAGAGACCCAGAGCGUACAUACACAGUGGAGGAGAGCGACCUCAUCCUGGGCAGCCUCAGCAAAGCCUUCUCUGCUUUUCAGGACCUUCACAGCUACGUGUUUCUUCCUCCUGGGAAAUGAAUCACAGCUGCCAGCCAACAUGUGCCAGUGUGGCCCUAACCAGCAGCACCUCCCCUUCUCCCAGGCACCCAGCCCUGGGCCCAUGGGUGGCCACUGCCCUCUGACAGCCAGCCUUGCCCAUGGUCUGCAGCACACCAGGCCCGUGGGCACCCCUCCAGUGAUGCUGCUGGCAUCUGGCAGCACAGCCUCCCCAGGGACCAGCAAGGGACUGCAGAGAAAAAGGCAGAGCAUGGACACUGCAGGGUGUAAACAAGAAGAGCAAAUGCAGUGGAAGGGCUGAGCCCACCUCAUUUACGUUCUUUGGUUUCCAGGGAGCAGCUCUGCUUGUUUCACCCCAGCAAUCUUGCCGCCAGGUUUGCCCCACGCUCAGGGGAUGCCAGAGUGCUCCCAGGCAGGCAGCUGGUCUCCGCUGCUUCUGCCAGAGGGGCAGGUCCUACCCAGGAGAUCAGCCUUCCCACCUCUGCAAAAGACCGUCAGCUCCUCACCUUGUGUCCUGGCACAGCCAGACGGUGGCAAAGGUGCCACAGCCCAGCUUGCGCAGAGCCUGGUAUCGCAUGUUGAACACCUCUCCUUCCCAUGUGGGGUGGUGGCCUCCUGCGGGGACCAUUGUCAAAAGACGUUACUGACAUCUCUAAAUGUGCUUAGACUAAAGGAGCAGCUGAGGACAGCUUUCCUCCCGGAGGAGGAGCAGCCGGACAGGUCCCGGCAGCCUCCUCUGGCCUGGGAAAAGCCUGGCACUAUCUUGACUGUGGAGCCGUGCGCCUGAGGACUGACCUGUGCGCUGGGCUGCUGGCACCUCCUGCACCUGCUCCUCCAUGGCACCAGGGGAUGGAGGCAGUGGGGAACCGGGUCAUGGGGCACAGGUGGUGUGAUCUUCAGCCUAUUACUCCUUUAAAGAAAGUUGGAGAGCUGCAAGGCAGCCAUACCUCUGCUGCAUGCCGUGCAUGUCAAUUCCCUCUUCUACCCCUGCUGCCUCCUCACCCCCUCCUUCCCAUCUGCUUCAUCAGCCCCUGGAGCCGGGCUGUUACAAAUGCUUUUGGUACUUCACGGAGGCAGGGAUUAUUUUAAAAGUUCAGAAGAGGAAAGCUGGCAGGCUGGGGCCAGGCAGGGAUUCUGGCUGGGCCAGGGCCAGGUGGGAGGCUCAGGUUUCCCUGUGCCCAGCAUGGAUUAUCAGGGGCUUAGUGGGGACUGUGGGAUCCCCUUCCGUGGCUACAGCCGGGGAAAGCACCCGCUCCCCAUCCCGGUCCUGCCUGAGGAGGGGACACGGACAUAUCUGGGCUUUCGCUGGCAGGAGGAGCCUCACGCUCCACAUGGGUGUGAAGCAGAGACUGUGUUUUAUACACUGCAGUGCUGCACAUCUGUCUGCAGCCCAGCCCUGGGCCCCAGAGCAUGGGUUUAUCUCUGACCAUCCCCUGAUGCCUGAGCGAGAGGCCGUGAUGGAGAGGCAGGCUGUUCCUGGGGUUUGUUACUAUGACAGCCCGAGGUACAAACACCCAGAUGGUGCAGACGGACUGAUGCAACUGCUGUCCCCCUGCCCCACAGCACUGGUGGAGAAUUGGCUUGAGCACCAGUCACCUGAAAUAGCAGCCCAGAGCCUGGGUUGCUAACUGAAAUAUAGAUGUAAAGAUGUAAGCCACCACAGCUGGGGUAUUCCCAACCCAGCCUGGGAACUGUCACUUGCUGUACGGCCAAAGCUCCAGGCUAACACACGUUGCCAGAGCUCAUGACAGGUGAUAAUAAUCCCAGCAGACCAUUAGCAUGGGUAGAAAUAUCGACCUUUAAAUCCUUCAAAUCAGGUCGCUAAAGCUAAGAGCUCAUCUGCACCAGAGAGUUUUCAGAAAUAGUUAUAGUGGGCUGGCAGUGGCGGUGGCAGCAGGAGCCGUUGACAGGGAGUUGUUCUGCGACAGUAACAUCUUCCAGGUGCUGAGACAGAGGUGUGCCUUCCUCAAAAGACUAAAAGGUUUCUUUUCAGAUGCUGAUGGUCCCCUCCCAGCAUAGCAGCCAGAGCUGCAGCCUGUCUUUGGGCAGUGAGCAAACUCCCAGCAUGUUUCUAAUUAAGGGUCAGGCUGGAUUGGAGACUUCGAUCCUGUCAGGGACAACCCCUAUUGCCAGACCUGAUGUUGCUCCAUCCACCCAAGCCCAUACAGCAGUCUGAAGGGAGCUCAAAAUCUCUCUCCCUCCUUAUACUUUCACACCUCUAACCAUGGUGUGUACACUUUUCAGAAUCAGUAAUUUUUAAGCAUAAACCUCCAGGAUGCUGCACGUCCAUAUGGCCCCGCUUUUCAGCAAAUGCUUACUAACGUCUUAGCUAUGAAAGAGGGGAAAUCAGAAUUGUCCUUAUUUGUGCACAGUCUGAGCGUGUCAGGAACCUUGGAAGCUCCUGCACCACCAGAGUCCACCCAAACCCUCUUCACUCAUGUCAGGAGGACAACAGGAGCUGAUCUGAGAGCUGGGCAACAACCUUAAAGAUUUUAUAAUGUUGCUCUCUGCUCAUCUGCUAAAGGGAAACUCAGAAGCAUGUGGAGGCAGGAGUUCAGCAGCAUUUUCUCUGGGUGGAUUGUUAUGGACAUAGGAGAUUUUGGUGGGAAAGUAGGACCCAAAGAGAGGCUCAGAGCGUAAAACGCAUCCUAGUGCUGGCACAGAUUGAGCUUUUGGGCAGCUCACCGGGCCCUGGUGUACUUGCCACGGAGGCGAGGCAGGCCCAUCCUCAGGCGUGCGAGACACUCCCUCCACCCACCCUCGUUACAUGGAUGCACUGACAAAGGACGAGGAGUGCUGCUCUGCCACUCAAUAUAGGGGAGUGAAAAGUACUUUUCUAAGCUUUGUAAUAAAGGACGAUCAGUGCUCUAAAGUCCUUCAUCGCUUAAUGGCUUUACGUUAAAAACAACUGUUAUUUUGCUUCUGUCAUUCAAAGCUACGUUGUGCAGAACCUACUGGCUUGCUGCAGGCCUGGACCAGGGCAGACAGCUUCAGCCCAAAACCAUACUGGUCCUGCCUGGUCUGUGAGAGCCAUGGGCAGGCAGUGGGGCUUCGCCUCUGGCCUGGACAACACCUGGCCUGCAUGGAGGGGUGUAUGGAGCUGCCCACCACUGGUCACGCCUCAAAGCGCCUGGGCCUCAGGAGUCCCAGAGCUCACUAGCGACACGUGCCUUCACCUUCUGCACGAACACAGACCUGGCAAGCCCUCGCUGAACGCAGCAUCCCUGCAAGUCGCAGCACGCAGCAAAAAAGCAGCCCUGUCGGCACACAGGGCUCCAAGCCCCAGGGGCCCUGUGCAGACUUACCAUGCAGCAGCUCAGAGGCAGGGCAUACUGCUCCGUUUGUCAUCUGGCUCGUUCUGGAGCUCCCCAAAGUGAGAUACCAGCUGGUCCUGCUCUCCUUUUAGUCUGCGCUGCCUGGGAGGGGUGUCCUUGAGCAGACCAAACUCUUCCUGCAUCGCUGGAUAGACGUGGUGAGGAGUGGGGCAGGGUAUCGGAUCACAGCACUGCUUCUGGGAACAACCUUGGCUUCGGGAUAGCUGGAGACCUAGGACAGCUGCGGUGGGUUCACUUUACUGCUGGCCUCUCCCUGCCUCCCCCCAGCUUCCCUGGCAGCAGGUCCAUCAGCCUGCUACAGCUCCACAGGAACUAUUUAUAGAGGGAAAUUCACAGCUCUACUGAGAUGGAAAGGGAGAAAUCCUUUCCCUCUGUUCCACUAUCCCCAGACCCAGAAACCAUGGGGCCGCCUGGCACUUCCCACCACUCCUGGCAGUGUGUUGGCAGGACUUCUGGCCCAGCCUCGCUGCUGUGGCACCACCUCCUGUCCCCGCCUGGCACAACGGCCCUUGACCUGUGCCUGGCAGAGGAACAGGCUCCCCAAGCCCACCCAUGUGCUGCACCGGCGGACCUGAGGCACCGCAGCCUCCCCCAGCAGCGCCCGCACGCAGCCGAACACAAAUCAUAGCGUGGAGCCUACGCUUCUCCCGUUCUGUUUUCGUGGAGAGCAACGGUGACAGCAGCAUCCUCCCUGCUCACCCGGCAGCCCUGCCCCACUGAGGUGGGACCCGAGCACCCCAGCACCCACGCGACACUGAGGAACAAAUGGCCACACACAGAGUAAAAAUCACUUUUUUUUUCCCCCGCUGCCACAUGCUGCAGCCUCACAGCAGAGCCGGGCAUGCCCCGGCCUCCCCCUUGCUGGGGCCCUGCUGUUGUACAGCUCAGGUUUCCUCGCUGAGGCUGCAGAGACUGAGCUGCAGUCCUGAAGCAAAGGGUUAACACUGCCUAGCAGUAGCUCUGCUGCAGAUCCAGGCUGCCAAACCGAGGUCGGGGCCUCCCAGAGUGUUUCUCCCCUUGCCUGUGCCCCUCUCCUCUCACCUGCCUUCCCCAUGCUAAAAAUAAUGAGAGGGGGCAGAGGCUGCGGCAGGCUGGGUGCUGAGCCAGGGUAGCACCUGGGGGAACAAGUGACUUGCAACCCCUCAAAGGCCAGCAAGAACACACAUCUAGGGGAAGGAGGGACGUGAGCAGCAACGGUGCGUAGAUCAGAGCUGGGAGAAGCAGACUAUCUAAAACUGUGCUAGUGAAGGAAAGGCAGCUUUUUGCCUAGGAAGAACUGUGCAACUAGUUUUAGAAUUGUUUUGCUAAUUUAGGAACGCUGGUUCCUGUCUCACACUGGCGGACAACAGCGAUCCACACAAAGCGUACCUUGAGCAACCCCAAGGUUGGAAAGCCACAAUGGGAGCUGUGAGGUGCCCAGUGCCCCCAGUCACAGCUGCAGCUGCAGCCCAGCUCCUGCAGCAGGAAGGAGCAGCAGGGAUGGUAGUGCAGCCCUGGAAGCUGCAGCAGUGUCAGGAUGCAGGAUGGGCAGCGGAAGGUGGCACAAGGUUACCUCGAAGCAAGUCAGUCGUAGCUCCUGGACUAGGGAGGAGGGAAAAGCCCCACACUUGCUCCCGGCCUGGCUCCCAGGUCCUGGCGCUCAGAAGGACACAGUUGCCACACAAGAGGUGGAUAGAUUUUGGGCAAUUGAUCAUUGUGCAACACAAGUGUGACACACAGAUUGUAUAUUAAAAUUUAUUGAAUUAUUGUGUAAGAA